UACGGAGGGUGCGAGCGUUGUCCGGAAUCACUGGGCGUAAAGGGCGCGUAGGCGGCUUGUCGCGUCGGAUGUGAAAGCCCGGGGCUUAACUCCGGGUCUGCAUUCGAUACGGGCAGGCUAGAGUUCGGUAGGGGAGAUCGGAAUUCCUGGUGUAGCGGUGAAAUGCGCAGAUAUCAGGAGGAACACCGGUGGCGAAGGCGGAUCUCUGGGCCGAUACUGACGCUGAGGAGCGAAAGCGUGGGGAGCGAACAGG
rnacentral:rRNA from 1 species